GCAGGAGUCUUUAGAACAUCUGUUUUAUGGAGGAUUCUAAGGCUAUAGUGUUCAUCAAGUAGGUACAACAGAAGACUAGGAAUCAACACCAAGUUUUGCACUGCGCUAACUGCCUGAAAUACUUUGUGGCUUCAUGAGAGACAUACUUCUUCAGAAACCAAUCACAGGAAGCAGAGGGAAGAGAGACCAAGCAGCAUCAGAAAGCAGGCAUGGAGUGGCUUUGCCACUGCCAUCUUUAGAAGACAGACCUUGCCUCUCAGAGCAGACUCGGCUCUCUGAGAUCCUUUCCAGACUGAGGUUGCAUUCCCCCAACCCCCAGAAGACUCCUUGCCUCUCUUUGGAUUCUCGUCCUGACUUAAUGGAUUAACCUAAGCUCCAGGAUUUAAUCAAGGAAAGGAGGCCAGCAGGAAAAAGACAAUCAGCUCGGCAGGUGAUGGAGCCCAAAGUCAUUUGCAUUAGAGAGGUUUGGUCCAAGCUCUUUCAGGAGGGAGAUGAAAAUGAGGUGCUUUGUUAGUUCAGGAGCGGUCCCCUUCCAACAGCAAGCUUGAAGGAAGCUCCUUUGAGGAUUUAUUCUGUUAAGCCAUCAAUAUUUCGAAUCAUCUGUGCUCAUGGACUAUUGGGAAAACCUUAACUGACCAGAAAGAGGCUGUGGAUAUUGUCUCAGAGCAUCUUGAACCCUUCCGAGAUGACUGGUCUUAACCUUGCCUCCACCCCGCCCCCUGCAGACUCCAGCUUUUAUGAGACAGGGCCGGUCUGUUGCUAGAGGUCAGGCAGCACCAGACUAUAAAGUUUUAGUAAUUUCAGAAUCUCACUAGAGCACCUCCUCCUAAGAUUUUGACCAUGGACACCUGGGUGACCUCUUCAAUUGUGCACUUGGGAGCUUUUUGCCUGUAAUUUAAGCAAACGGAGAAACAAAGGUCCCCUGCUGCAUUGCAAAAAUUGAAAUGGACAAAGAACUGUUGAUUGUAAUUCUUCAACCUGGG
rnacentral:lncRNA from 1 species